rnacentral:rRNA from 1 species
UACAGAGGGUGCGAGCGUUAAUCGGAAUUACUGGGCGUAAAGCGCGAGUAGGUGGUUUGUUAAGUGGGAUGUGAAAGCCCUGGGCUCAACCUAGGAACUGCAUCCCAAACUGGCAGGCUAGAGUACGAUAGAGGGGUGUGGAAUUUCCUGUGUAGCGGUGAAAUGCGUAGAUAUAGGAAGGAACACCAGUGGCGAAGGCGACACCCUGGAUUGAUACUGACACUGAGGUGCGAAAGCGUGGGGAGCAAACAGG